GCAGCCGUAGCUCAGUUGGUUAGAGCGCUUGAUUGUGGAUCAAGAGGUCCGUGGUUCAAAUCCACGCGGCUGUACCA
rnacentral:tRNA from 1 species